rnacentral:rRNA from 1 species
UUAAAUUGAAGAGUUUGAUCAUGGCUCAGAUUGAACGCUGGCGGCAGGCCUAACACAUGCAAGUCGAACGGUAACAGGAAGAAGCUUGCUUCUUUGCUGACGAGUGGCGGACGGGGGAGUAAUGUCUGGGAAACUGCCUGAUGGAGGGGGAUAACUACUGGAAACGGUAGCUAAUACCGCAUAACGUCGCAAGACCAAAGAGGGGGACCUUCGGGCCUCUUG